CCCUUAGACGUUCUGGGCCGCACGCGCGCUACACUGACCAGUGCAACAAGCAUCCGUCCUUGGCCGACAGGCUCGGGCAAUCUUUGAACGCUGGUCGUGAUGGGGAUAGACUUUUGCAAUUUUUGGUCUUCAACGAGGAAUUCCUAGUAAACGCAAGUCAUCAACUUGCAUUGAUUACGUCCCUGCCCUUUGUACACACCGCCCGUCGCACCUACCGAUUGAAUGGUCCGGUGAAGCCUCUGGAUUGGCGCGCACCUCGGUGCCGCCGAGAAGUUGGCUAAACCUUACCAUUUAGAGGAAGGUGAAGUCGUAACA
rnacentral:rRNA from 1 species